rnacentral:rRNA from 1 species
GACGAACGCUGGCGGCGUGCCUAAUACAUGCAAGUCGAACGCAUUUUCUUUCACCGUAGCUUGCUACACCGAAAGAAAAUGAGUGGCGAGCGGGUGAGUAACACGUGGGUAACCUGCCCAUCAGCGGGGGAUAACACUUGGAAACAGGUGCUAAUACCGCAUAAUUCCAUUUACCGCAUGGUAGAUGGGUGAAAGGCGCUUUUGCGUCACUGAUGGAUGGACCCGCGGUGCAUUAGCUAGUUGGUGGGGUAACGGCCUACCAAGGCUGCGAUGCAUAGCCGACCUGAGAGGGUGAUCGGCCACACUGGGACUGAGACACGGCCCAGACUCCUACGGGAGGCAGCAGUAGGGAAUCUUCGGCAAUGGACGCAAGUCUGACCGAGCAACGCCGCGUGAGUGAAGAAGGUUUUCGGAUCGUAAAACUCUGUUGUUAGAGAAGAACAAAGAUGAGAGUGGAAAGUUCAUCCCUUGACGGUAUCUAACCAGAAAGCCACGGCUAACUACGUG